CGGUCUUUGUCUGUUUAAUUUUUGUAUGACGCUUUUUAUUUGAAAAAUGACAAAAAUGGUUUCAUAUAUAUGAGGUGGGUUCAAAAUAGUUCGUAAAUAAUGGACUUAAUAGUUUUGAUCCUUUAAGUUUAAAGUUAAUAUUUUAGUUUCUAUUAAAUAUUUAACAAUUUAUGUUCGUUAGAUUUGAUAAAAAUGGUGGAAACAAGAGAUUUAACCAUGAAUACCAAGAAAAUCCCGUCAAAGUAAAAAUAUGCAGACACCUAAAAAUUGCACUAGACCUAAAAAGAUAUACUCCAGCCGUCCCAAAAUACGUGUUAUCUUAGCAAAAAUCACGCUCAUUAAGUAAUAAAUACAAUGUGGAGUUUACUAAACUAUCCCUAUUAAUUAGAUUUUUUUUAGAAUGUAGUAAUAUUAAAAAGGAUUAUCUCUUUAAUGCUAAGGGCAUAGUUGAAAACAUUUGUCAAUUUUUGUCUUGAAUUCCUAAGGUGAUAUUUAUUUUGAGACAGUUUUUUUUUUUUUGCUAAGCUGACACUUACUUUGGGGUAGAAAGAAUAAUCAUAGCAGAAAUUACGCCACAAAAAAUUGCACCAAACUUUAAAAUAAAUUAAAAAUAACAAAUAUUACAGAUGUUGUACCUCUAAUGUGAGAUUCCGCUAAUUUUAAUUAAUAGACAAAGUUGGAUAAAUAUUUAAUUGAGACUAAAAAUAUCAACUUUUUGUAAACUUGAAGGACUAAAUUUACCAAAGUGCAUACUUAAGAAACUUUUUUAAACCUAAAUCAAACGUAAGCGACCAUUUUUGUAAAUUUUCUCCUCUUUAUUAACUAGUUUGUUCUAAAACGGUGUGGCCUUUAUAUUUGAAAGCUCUUCAGUUCCUAUUUUAACCUUAGAGAAACAGAGCAGCCACCAUGCUCUUUCUUUCUUGGACAAAACCUCUGUGUUACAGAGGUAAUUUCUUCCCCUCAAUCCAAUUGUUUGCUUUAUUGCAAGACCAUGAAGCUAUGUUUCAUUCUUUCUCUGCUAGUCCCUCAAAAUAUUCUUCAUUUCAAGAAAAGCCAUCAAUUUCAAGAAAGCGUAAAGUUGUUGUCUUUAAGGAUUUUAGACAUGUGAAUAAUUUAGACCAUGCUGUUAGUGUCUUUAAUCAAAUGGUCCAAACAAAACCAAUUCCUUCUGUUGUAGAGUUUGCAAAAUUGUUAAGGGUGAUGAUUAAUAAGAAACAUUAUUGUGGUGUUGUUUCUUUUUUUGGAGAGAUGAGGAAGCUAGGGGUUCCCUUUGAUGAUUAUAUCUUGACUAUUGUGAUUGAUUCAUUUUGCUUGUUGGGUUGUACUGAACAUGGGUUUUCAGUGUUGGGUAUUUUUUUCAAGAGUGGUGUUCAGUUUAAUGUUGUUACUUUCAGCACUCUUAUAAGGGGACUUUGUGAACAAAAUAAGAUUAAGGAUGCCAUGUGGUUGUUUAAUAAGUUGGUGACAGAGAAAAUUUGUAAGAUUGAUGAAGUAAUGUUUGGUACUGUCAUGAAUGGGCUAUGUAAACAAGGGCAUACUCAAACAGCUCUUAGUUUGUUGAGGAUAAUGGAGCAAGGGGAUCCUAAACCUAACACAAUUGUGUAUAGUAUCGUCGUAGAUGCGCUUUGCAAAGACAAAAUGGUAGGUGCUGCUUUCAACCUUUUCAAUGAAAUGAAACGAAAAGGCAUUACUCCGAAUGUACUUACAUAUAGUUCACUGGUUGAUGGUUUGUGUAAGUUUGAUGAGUGGGAAAAGGUUAGGCUGCUUUUGGAUGAGAUGAUGUACCUUAAUAUUUUUCCGAACGUGCACACAUUUAGCAUGUUGAUAGAUGCAUUUUGCAAAAAAGGGAUGGUUGAAGAUGCUGUGGAGGUGUUAACGAUAAUGAUCCAAAGAGGUGAACAUCCAGAUGUGGUUACCUACAACGCUAUAAUGGAAGGAUAUUGUCUGCACGGUGAAGUAGAUGUAGCAAGGAGAAUUUUAGACUCUAUGGUUGAUACUGGCGUCAAGCCUGACAUCUUUAGUUACAACAUAUUAGUCAAUGGGUAUUGCAAGCAAAAGAAAUUAGAUGAGGCCAUGCAUUUGUGUUGUGAAAUCUCGCAGAAGGGGUUGAAACCUGACAUUGUUACAUAUUCUACUAUCUUGCAAGGCCUAUUUGAAGUUGGUAGAGUUGAGUGUUCAGAACAUUUCUUUACUGAGAUGCAAAAUGCAGGCCAUACUCCUGACAUUUACACUUGUGGCAUAAUGCUUCAUGGUUAUAUAAAGAAUGGACACGUAGAAAAAGCUAUGUCCCUCUUUCAUAGGUGGGACAAACAAAAAGAAGAUACUAAUAUUUUAAUCUACAAUACAGGCAAUGGUGGAUUUUUUAGAAUUCAAAAGCUUGAUAAAGCUCGUUCUAUUUUUGAUAAGCUUUAUUCCAUAGGGUUGCAUCCUGAUGCUAUAACAUACAAUGUAACAGUAAAUGGACUUUGUAUUGAAGGUUUAGUAUAUGAAGCCAAAGAGUUGCUAAGAGAAAUGGAGGGAAAUGGUUGUUUGCCGGACAAUGCCACUUCCAAUCUUAUUGUGCAUGGAUUUCUCAAGAGUAAUAAAACUAAUGAAGCAAUGGCUCUUUUGAAGGAAAUCAUUGGGAGGGGUUUCCCGGCUGAUAAAGACACAGUGUCAUUGCUAAUAGAAUUACUUUUGUUAAUAGGGGAAGGUCCUUUUUUGCUUAAUAUGAUACCAGAAUUUCGUCUACGAAAUAAGAAAUGAAACUCGUUCUCCUCUCAGUAUUGAACUACUUGAGAGCUUGACUACAAUCAGAAAACCAAACGAUGAUAGCACUCAAAGUUUAUUUAUCUACCAGUUAUGGUUUGUAGAGUCUUGGGUACCGGACAUUGUGACUAGUGUUGUUAAGGCGUUGAAGAAAUGGGAAAAAGAAAAUGAAGAGAAGGAAGAAUUUGAACUAGAUGUCUUCAAAGAAUUGAAUGAUCUCUCAGCUGAGGUUAUAUCUAGAAC